rnacentral:rRNA from 1 species
GUUUAUCCACAGCAAUCCGUACCGCAAACCAACUCAGGUGGGUGGGAUGAACAAUCCAAGGCGCUCGAGAGAACUCUGGCCAAGGAACUCGGCAAAAUAACCCCGUAACUUCGGAAGAAGGGGUGCUCUCUAGGGUGACAUGUUUAACAUAUGAAGCCCCGGGGAGCCGCAGUGAAUUGGUGGUGGCGACUGUUUACUAAAAACAUAGGUCUGUGCGAAGUCCUAAAGACGACGUAUACGGACUGACGCCUGCCCGGUGCUGGAAGGUUAAAAGGAGGGGUCAGCGCAAGCAAAGCUCCGAAUUGAAGCCCCAGUAAACGGCGGCCGUAACUAUAACGGUCCUAAGGUAGCGAAAUUCCUUGUCGGGUAAGUUCCGACCUGCACGAAAGGCGUAACGAUCUCCACACUGUCUCGGCCAGAGACUCGGUGAAAUUGCAGUCGCGGUGAAAAUUCCGUGUACCCGCAGAAAGACGGAAAGACCCUGUGCACCUUUACUAUAGCUUGACAUUGGAUUUUGGGCCUGCAUGUGUAGGAUAGGUGGGAGGCUGUGAACCCUGUACGCCAGUAUGGGGGGAGCCAUCCUUGAAAUACCACCCUUGCAUGUUUAAGAUCCUAACUUCUUCCGGUUAUCCCGGAGAAAGACAGUGUCUGGCGGGUAGUUUGACUGGGGCGGUCGCCUCCUAAAGUGUAACGGAGGCAUGCAAAGGUUCCCUCAGCCUGAUCGGAAACCAGGCGCUGAGUGCAAACGCAUAAGGGAGCUUGACUGUAAGAGAGACAUCUCGAACAGGAACGAAAGUUGGCGUUAGUGAUCCGGUGGUCCCGAAUGGAAGGGCCAUCGCUCAUUGGAUAAAAGGUACGCCGGGGAUAACAGGCUGAUCGCAUCCAAGAGUUCACAUCGACGAUGCGGUUUGGCCACCUCGAUGUCGGCUCAUCACAUCCUGGGGCUGAAGCAGGUCCCAAGGGUACGGCUGUUCGCCGUUUAAAGUGGUACGCGAGCUGGGUUUAAAACGUCGUG